GCGGUGGUGCCUCAGAGGGACCAGGAAACCCCCCGCCCCCAGGAGUAAAGGGGGAUACGCGCCCCCCGCACAUCUAGAUGACGAAGACUUGCCCUUUGAAAUUCCCUCGAUCAUCCUGGAGCCACACCGGGAGCUGGAACACGACAUCGCGGACGAAGCAUUAUGAAGAAAGUGAACAAGUGAACAAUCUUUUUAUCAAUGUUUCGUCUCUCUGUGCCA